ACCCAAAAACGUCCAAUGAGAGACCAACAGGCCCCUGACCUAAGUCAGAGCUAGACUGCAGAACUCUCAGCCCAGCUCUGCAGCAGACAUCUGCGUCAUCCUCCCAGAAAUUCAACUCAGGCCACACUUCUGGCAAAAGAAGUUUCACCCUGACUGUCCUUGUUUUCAGUCAGCUGGGCUCAGUGGGAUCUAAAAACCUGGGACAGAGUGUAGAUCCAGUAGAGGAGCCCAGGCCUCUCCUCCACGCACCCCUCACUGGCACCCCUCACCAUCUCCCAUACAUUCCCUAUGGUGCAGCCUCUCAGUCCUAGCACUAAGCUCAAAAUACAGAUAAGAGAACAAACAGUGCAAAAAGCAAAAGGUGAACAACAGAGUAAUUCUUGACACAUACAAUACAAAAAUAAAAAUAAAGAAUCCCACCCCUUUAACCUAAACUUCAUGUACCUAUAUCUUGGAGGAGCCACAAAACAAAAACAAAAACAAAAAAACUUUCAAGCUACAAUUCUCAAACGACUAAAUGCUGGCCUGGAGUAAUCAUUAAAGAGCCAAAACCCAGGACAUGAGCCCAAGAGCUACCUAUUUU
ensembl:lncRNA novel transcript, antisense to MLEC